rnacentral:rRNA from 1 species
AGAGUUUGAUCAUGGCUCAGAUUGAACGCUGGCGGCAGGCCUAACACAUGCAAGUCGAGCGGUAGCACAGAGAGCUUGCUCUCGGGUGACGAGCGGCGGACGGGUGAGUAAUGUCUGGGAAACUGCCUGAUGGAGAGGGAUAACUACUGGAAACGGUAGCUAAUACCGCAUAACGUCGCAAGACCAAAGUGGGGGACCUUCGGGCCUCAUGCCAUCAGAUGUGCCCAGAUGGGAUUAGCUAGUAGGUGGGGUAACGGCUCACCUAGGCGACGAUCCCUAGCUGGUCUGAGAGGAUGACCAGCCACACUGGAACUGAGACACGGUCCAGACUCCUACGGGAGGCAGCAGUGGGGAAUAUUGCACAAUGGGCGCAAGCCUGAUGCAGCCAUGCCGCGUGUGUGAAGAAGGCCUUCGGGUUGUAAAGCACUUUCAGCGGGGAGGAAGGCGGUGAGGUUAAUAACCUCAUCGAUUGACGUUACCCGCAGAAGAAGCACCGGCUAACUCCGUGCCAGCAGCCGCGGUAAUACGGAGGGUGCAAGUGUUAAUCGGAAUUACUGGGCGUAAAGCGCACGCAGGCGGUCUGUCAAGUCGGAUGUGAAAUCCCCGGGCUCAACCUGGGAACUGCAUUCGAAACUGGCAGGCUAGAGUCUUGUAGAGGGGGGUAGAAUUCCAGGUGUAGCGGUGAAAUGCGUAGAGAUCUGGAGGAAUACCGGUGGCGAAGGCGGCCCCCUGGACAAAGACUGACGCUCAGGUGCGAAAGCGUGGGGAGCAAACAGGAUUAGAUACCCUGGUAGUCCACGCCGUAAACGAUGUCGAUUUGGAGGUUGUGCCCUUGAGGCGUGGCUUCCGGAGCUAACGCGUUAAAUCGACCGCCUGGGGAGUACGGCCGCAAGGUUAAAACUCAAAUGAAUUGACGGGGGCCCGCACAAGCGGUGGAGCAUGUGGUUUAAUUCGAUGCAACGCGAAGAACCUUACCUGGUCUUGACAUCCACAGAACUUUCCAGAGAUGGAUUGGUGCCUUCGGGAACUGUGAGACAGGUGCUGCAUGGCUGUCGUCAGCUCGUGUUGUGAAAUGUUGGGUUAAGUCCCGCAACGAGCGCAACCCUUAUCCUUUGUUGCCAGCGGUUAGGCCGGGAACUCAAAGGAGACUGCCAGUGAUAAACUGGAGGAAGGUGGGGAUGACGUCAAGUCAUCAUGGCCCUUACGACCAGGGCUACACACGUGCUACAAUGGCAUAUACAAAGAGAAGCGACCUCGCGAGAGCAAGCGGACCUCAUAAAGUAUGUCGUAGUCCGGAUUGGAGUCUGCAACUCGACUCCAUGAAGUCGGAAUCGCUAGUAAUCGUAGAUCAGAAUGCUACGGUGAAUACGUUCCCGGGCCUUGUACACACCGCCCGUCACACCAUGGGAGUGGGUUGCAAAAGAAGUAGGUAGCUUAACCUUCGGGAGGGCGCUUACCACUUUGUGAUUCAUGACUGGGGUGAAGUCGUAACAAGGUAACCGUAGGGGAACCUGCGGUUGGAUCACCU